GGGUUAUAAAUACCCCAUGCGACGCUCCAAAAGGCCAACUCAGUUCACACCAUCAAGUUCUUUGGCAACAGUGAACCACCCGACGACAACAUGCUGAUUGGCUAUCAAGCAGCAUACCGGCCGAGACGGUGCCAAGCCCAGCCAGCAGGAAGGGCACCAAGAUCUGCAGCACCAGGGCAGGCGUCGUCUCGGUGGGCCUGGCCGGCGGCGCGCCCCCCCGGCUCUGUGGGUCUCCCCGUGUGCCCCCGGCCUUGUGGAGGCUCCUCGCACUGCGGACGCCCCCGGGGAGCAGGGGCUCGGCCUCGUCCACGUGAACCCGAGAUAGAGACGUGUUGCGUGGGGUCCUGUAUCCGCGUAGGUCCUGGAGCUCCUGAGGGUCUUCUGAGGGCUGCGUGGACUCGUGCAGAUGGCCGUCUCCUGUUCCCAUGGCGAGGGAUAUUGCAUUGCCCAUGGUGAGGAGAGAACGGGGAACUCUUUCAGGGAAUUUCUCGGAUGAGAGUUUGAUUCCUGAUACUUUUCAAACCCAGCUGGAAAUCUAGACUGGUUCUGCCGGCUCACAGCACAUCUGAAAAUAUCAAAACCCGGGGUCAGGAUAUGGACACUUGCAGAGUUCUUUGAGAGUGGUUGUAAAAUGACAUGUAAGCUGCGUCUUUUGCAUUAUAAUAACGGGGGAUGCCGAGGAGACUUCAGUAGGUCUACCGGGCCAUCAUGCCGCACCGGGGAGAAUGAUAACCCAGGUUUUAUUCAAAACAAAACUAACACUGAUUUCACUAUUUGGACUAAGUUAAAAAAGAUAGGCCUGCUGAAAUCAAAUUAAUGGUUGAGUUGUCAUUUGAAUGAAUCCCUGAAUCCAUGCUAUACCAUAUUAUGCCAGUGGUUUGACAAGAUCAUGUCACAAACACCCGCAUUGUUCUGGGGACAUACCUCAAAUUUCCUUAUAGGACAUUCUUACCAUCGUUUGUCCAUUGAUUCAUUUCAUUGGAACAGCGCAUAGCUAUGUCACCAGAUGGGCACAUAUAGCCCAGGAUAGCUAUUUAGAAACCAAAAAUAUUUCUGGUACAUGUCCUACCAAUCCUUAGCAUUUAGAUUUUAGAGGUUAUAUAUACAGGUUGAAACAUAUCCCCUUCAAGAUUAUUUUCAAAUAAAUCUCAAUGUCAAUUGUUAGGUCAAACAAAAAACAAAUCAAGGUUUUUAGUGAGUAUGACAAUUUCAGCAGAUUAAAUGAAGUGUCUUACUCCAGUUCACUGCCGUCCAAAUCUCUGCCUUUCCUCUGCUCUCUUGGUACCAUCUUCCCUGUUCACCAGGCGCACACUCACUCACCCCUCUCACUAGCACGCGCUCUCUCUCUCUCUCUCUCUCUCUCUCUCUCUCAAACAAGUGACACCCUCACCCAUCCACACUAAUAUGUGCAUGCACGUGCCUAGUGCCACACACACACACACACACACACACACACACACACACACACACACACACACACACACACACACACACACACACACACACACACACACACACACACACACACACACACACACACACACACACACACGUGCACAUGAAAAUGAACUAAAAA